UCCUCUCAUAGCAGGUCUGCGGCUUCUCGUUUGGAGGACCAGGACCGGCAGCCAAGGAGCUGGGAGCAGAGUUUGUGUGGAGCCUCGAGAACCGUUGGAAUCAUGGAAUUUUUAAAAACAGCUGUUUAAUGUCCAAAAAGUCAUUUCGAUAUUUCAGCUCCUCUUAGUCAAACUAGAGUGCGUUUCUCCAUCAGAAACUGAUUUGAGGAUCAAAGGCUGAAACCCUACACCAAUUCAUCUGAGGUUCAGACAUGCAUCUCGUCCCAAACACUGCACAGACACCUGCAGAACAACGGCAGAACAAUGGCCAACCUGGGGCACCCCACGGCCCAGCCCCGUUGACACUUAGAGUCAACUAUCAAACACUGUCCCUGCAAAGCAUCAGACAUGGGAAACACGAUGGCAAGUGUGCGCUUUGUUCUCAGGAAGAUGCUAGUCUAGAAGACAGGGGCAGGCUUGUGAAAAUGAGCUCUCCAUGCACGGUGAUAGAACAGCAGUGCCAGCUAUGGGGAAGGGUGAGCGGGGGUUUACUCUUAGGGGCUUGGGAGGGAGGCUUAGGUGCCUGGUUGAAAAAAGUGAAAACUAAAAUCUGUUUUUUGCUUUGUUAUAUAACUGCUAUGUGGGUCAAAUACAUUCAUAAUGAUAGUUUUUACCUACUAAGCUUCUGCUCUGUGCUUGGUAGAUUUCUGCACAAUUCAUCUUGAAUCCUAAAAAACUCUAAAGGAUGCGUUACCUUCAUCCUCUUCUUCACCCUUUUAUAGCUAAACAUAAUGAAACCAGAACAGUUAAAUGUUUUAUACUUUUCUCAGUAGAGGUCGAAUCCAGGGUUACUUGGUUGAUUCAAAAGUUCUCAUUGUUCCAUGUAAGCUCUCAUUCCAGAGCACUUAGGACAGGCUUUGCAGGUUACCCCUGUCUUGGGGGAACCAUAUUUGAAUGAUCACCAUGAGUUUAUUUUUGUGCUCCAAUUGAAUUUAAGAGAUAUUGUGUCAAUGGAAAGUACUGUAAAAGUAUAGGGACAAAGAGUACAAGAUCAGCUUUGCAGGGGAAGAAAGGGUUGCCCUACUAUCAUCAUGGGUAUUGCAGAGGGUUCCUUAAAGAUAAGAUUGGGGUAGUGUAAGGGUUGUCGAAGGCCACAGCAAGGCCGAGUAUUAGGAGAAGCCUGUGUGACUGGCAGCGUGGAUUGGAAGACCAUGUCUUCAAUAAAGCAGGAGAAGCAAGAACUAAAGAAAAAAUGCGAGUCCAGUAAUGCCGAAAACAAGUGGUGAUAUGAAAGGUGGGUGGUGGCUCACAGAGGGAUCUGAUCUCACUUUUUUGCUUUACGACUUCGAGCUCUUGAGGUCUCUGCUCUGCAGACUUCCCCUCCUGUGAGUUAUGUGGUUUCACUCGCUCAUAAGCACUCAGUCUGCAUUUGGACUUUUCCUUCCACAGCAUAAGAGAGGGCAUCUCCUAUCAGCCAGAACCUUAAGUGCAACUACCUAGAAUUUCAUAUUCCUGAAAAGUAGCGAAAUAUAACAAAACUCCUUUCUUUCACCCUCUCAAACGCCAUCUAUACUCGCAUUCAUCCCUUCAUGAAUACAUUCGAAUACAAGCAUCUAUGGAUAUACAAUUUCAUUUUGUGAUAGAAAGAAGGAAAAAGGGAUCAGUAGGCAGAGUGGGUGACACCUGGCAAUGUAAACUGGAGAGGGGGUCACUGUGGGGGAGAGGGAAAGUACGGUUGAGGCAAGGAUGGUGUGUGAGAUGGGCCAGGUCAGCAGCAGUGUUAUAUCCAGCCACCUUCUGCUGGCAGAAAGGUCUCCAGCUCACGGCCCUACCUCUAUCCAGCCUGCUCAGAACACUCUCUGCUAGCGCUUGCUUUCCUUUUCAAUUCUCAGCAUUUGAAAUUGUGCAAGAGUGAUAUUACAGGCUUCCAGUCCAUGGAGCUACAGGAAGUUGUUUGGGACUCUCGCAGUAGACUGGGAAUCAGGAGCUCACAUUUCAGUACUCUCCCUUGCUGGGUGGGCCGUGCUUCAGAUGCCUCACUCCUAUGGGCGGGGUGCUUCUGCCGGCACGAUACCUGCCUGCGAGGUGCUUGUGGAGAGCAGUGUGUCUCUGGGAACAACCACGGGCACGUAGAAGACACUCAGCGAGGGCAGCGGGCAGCACUUACUACUCAGCAGAUCACCACUGCCAGGAUAUGGGAGGACCAAGAAAUGACUCAGCAGACCUUGGGUUUGCUUUUUUUUUCCUACAGGAAGAACAAGGAACAAGCGCUUCCUUGCUAGGAUGUAAUUUAUGACAGCCACAAACACUAUGUCUGCUCUGCUCUGAGCUGUGGAGAAUAAUCUGUUUUUUUCUUCUUUUUAAAAAUAUCUCUCAAAUACUAACAGUGCUUUUCUCUUUUUAUGCUCUGUAUCAAUGGGAAAUUCAUACUUAGCAAAACUGGCUCCUUUGUGAUACUAAGAGUCAAGCUUUUGACUCCAAUCAG